AGCGAACGCUGGCGGCAGGCCUAACACAUGCAAGUCGAACGAAGCCUUCGGGCUUAGUGGCGGACGGGUGAGUAACACGUGGGAACGUACCUUUUGGUUCGGAAUAACGCAGAGAAAUUUGCGCUAAUACCGAAUGAGCCCUUCGGGGGAAAGAUUUAUCGCCGAAAGAUCGGCCCGCGUUGGAUUAGGUAGUUGGUGUGGUAAAGGCGCACCAAGCCUACGAUCCAUAGCUGGUCUGAGAGGAUGAUCAGCCACACUGGGACUGAGACACGGCCCAGACUCCUACGGGAGGCAGCAGUGGGGAAUCUUGCGCAGUGGGCGAAAGCCUGACGCAGCCAUGCCGCGUGAAUGAUGAAGGUCUUAGGAUUGUAAAAUUCUUUUACCAGGGACGAUAAUGACGGUACCUGGAGAAAAAGCCCCGGCUAACUUCGUGCCAGCAGCCGCCGUAA
rnacentral:rRNA from 1 species